GUUUGAUCAUGGCUCAGAUUGAACGCUGGCGGCAGGCCUAACACAUGCAAGUCGAGCGGAUGAAAGGGGCUUGCUCCUGGAUUCAGCGGCGGACGGGUGAGUAAUGCGCAGGAAUCUACCUAGUAGUGGGGGAUAACGUUUCGAAAGGAACGCUAAUACCGCAUACGUUCUGAGGAAGAAAGCAGGGGAUCGUAAGACCUUGCGCUAUUAGAUGAGCUUGCGUCCGAUUAGCUAGUUGGUGGGGUAAAGGCCUACCAAGGCGACGAUCGGUAACUGGUCUGAGAGGAUGAUCAGUCACACUGGAACUGAGACACGGUCCAGACUCCUACGGGAGGCAGCAGUGGGGAAUAUUGGACAAUGGGGGCAACCCUGAUCCAGCCAUGCCGCGUGUGUGAAGAAGGCC
rnacentral:rRNA from 1 species